rnacentral:misc_RNA from 1 species
GAUGAAGAACGUAGUGAAAUGCGAUACGUAAUGUGAAUUGCAGAAUUCAGUGAAUCAUCGAAUCUUUGAACGCACAUUGCGCCCGCCAGCACUCUGGCGGGCAUGCCUGUUCGAGUGUCAUUUCAACCAUCAAGCCCCAGGCUUGCGUUGGAGCCCUGCGGCUGCCGCAGCCUCCUAAAAGCAGUGGCGGGCUCGCUAUCACACCGAGUGCAGUAGAUUACUCUUCGCUCAGGGCGUGCAGCGGGUUCCGGCCGUGAAACCCCCUACUUUUAAAGGUUGACCUCGGAUCAGGUAGGAAUACCCGCUGAACUUAAGCAUAUCAAUAAGCGGAGGA